rnacentral:lncRNA from 1 species
AGACACUGAGCAAAUCAACAGGCUGUCUGUUAGCACCAACCUUCCUAUCUUACCUGUUUCCAUUCCUGAGGUGCCAACUCCAUGGUAGAUCAACAACCCCAAGUCUCUCCUCCAGCUCUCGUGCUAGUUGAAAAUUAAUAAUUGCUGCAAUUCAGAAGGGAGCAGCAGUGGAAUAAAUUAUAGGCUGUGACCUGCCUGGCUCUGGGAUGACACGAUCAAAAUCCUUGUGCUUUUCUUAGUUUCUACUGCUCAGUUACCAUGCCUUAGUGACAAGCUUUCAGACUGAGUGACUAGGGUAUCUUAGUGCUGUCUUCACAUACGGAAGAUGUUCCCUGGAAACACUCCUUCUCAGGAAAUGGAGAUCAACUAAAUCAUGUGGAGGGAAGGAAUUCAGAGAAUUAGAAAGGAUCUAUCUGUGCUGGCCUUGAACAUAAGUGGUACCCUCAGCUGCCUCCUAGAGCCAUCUCCAAGGUAGCAAGGAGGGAGGACACCAGCAAAUUUCUACAAAGAUAAGACUGGAAGGAGCCACAGGGCUGUGAAGUUGCUAAGAAUACAAGCAAUGCCUUGCAGACCACUUGGAGUCUAACAACUAACUAAAUUUGCCUGCUCAAUAAGGUGAAGAAAGAAUGCAGGGAAACACAACCAGGCACAAGUGCACUGGAUCCUCAAUGAAAAAUAUGGACUGCUGUGACAGGAUGCAGCUUUCUGCUGUGGACAAGGCUCGGCUCCAGUUUGGGCUUAAGUGGUUCAUACAGAGAUUGACCUCUGACCUGGAGCUCAUUAACUUCUUCUGUGAGUGGGGGAGGUUGCUGCAAGGAACCCUUUGGUAAUAGCAUUAAUCAUACAUAGAAGAUUCUGGAACGUUGUGCUGGAGAAGUCAGAGAAUGUUCUUAGCAGGGAAUAAUGGUGCAUCCAGAUCGGUAUUUGUGGUACCAGGACUCUGAAAGAAAGGCUUGCAGUAAAAGCCCAGUUCUUGGAGUUACAGAGAAACAAGGACUCCAUUUAAAACUGGAUAUAGAGGGCACUGGUGCUACAUUCCGGCAAAGAUCAAUGCUGCUUUCUGUCCAUGUCCUCAGAAGUUAAGCAAGGCUGGAUUUAAAAGUAAUUGACUAAUGUGUUUGACACAGACAGUUUGGGUUAAGAAUAGAAUGCAUGCCACAAAAUGGUACCGCUCCCUGUUCUCGUUCUGGCUUGCGAGUGAGAAACAGCAGAAAGUGAAGCAGGACGACAUGAAAAAAAUAUACAGUUUGGUAAGGAAAGAAAAUUAGUUUCAAGCUGCAACAAAGCAGAUGAGGAAGCAACAGCAAUUGUUAAGAAGAUUCACCCCAUUAAUGCUCUCAACCCCAUCUACCCUGGGCCAAUGGGAAGCAUCCCAUGAGGGCAAGACCCUGCACACCUAAUGCUAUAACUUGUGAAAAUGCAAAUUAAUUUGGAAGGAGAGAACUUGAAUUGAAAAUGAGAUCGAAGGGUUCCUGCUGGGAAGUCACUGCCUAAGAAAGAGGCUUCCCAGAUGGAUCUUCCAAGGCACACACAGGUAAAUCUGUUUGUAGCCUCCUGUUCUUGGAGUUGGGUAAAGGAAUCAUAACAAAGACCCUUUAAAUAAGGCUUGCCAUCAUCGGAGAUACUGAAACACAAAGGCAAGCCCCAUUUAUGCCUUGGCUGGAAUCAUCCUGUCCUAUUUUCUGGCUAGUUAAUUGAUCACGCUCUGGAGAUUGGAGCCAGGAACCCGAGGCUCAGGAACUCUCUAGAAAUGGUUACUCUAUCACACCAUGCAAGAAACAACCUGAAUAAAAAAACUGCUUCUCUGUCCAUGGUUAUUCCCGAAGUGUGUGCUGGAGUCAAUGUGUUACAAUGAGUGAGAAUUCACAUUUGCACUUAGUGGUGUGCUCUGGGAGUUUGCAUGGUUGAGGAGAAAGGGGAGGAUCUAAAGGAUGCCUAGGACUGUGGAUGAAGUUAUACCUAAACAAGAGGCCUGGAAGACUGCUUUGAAAUAUAUUUAGAAGGGGAUACUAUGAGAUACUGGGCUAAUAUUACGCCUGCGCGAGUAAAGGGAUGAGGUAAAGAAGAAUAGCGUGUGGGCAAUGAUUCAGAUCCCACCUACCAGUAGAGCCCUUUGUGUUAUAGACAAGGGGAAGUCUUGUCUUGGUUAGAAUUUAGCUCCAAUCUAUGGAAGAAGUAAGAAGUAGCCAUGCUGAGCUCUUAUCACCAAGGAAAGUUCCCAAGACCACACUGCGCCACCAGCCUCAUUCUCCACUGGCAAACUUUCUUCAAUAGAAGGCAUUGUGGAAUCUGUAUGCUGAUGGAAAUCCUGCAAGCGCGACACUUACCUCAAAUCAACACUGGUAUUUGUAGUCAUGAUACUCCAGUCAAGGCACGGCUUCCUUAUUAAUAAGAAUUCAGUGAACUAGAGAAUAGAUAAUCGCAAUGAUAUGUUCUCCUUUAAAUCACAAUGCCAUUGGUUCUGAGAGUAAAGGAGUGGGUUUUGUUGUGUUUUGUUUUGUU